CGGGGCUCCGCCAUCCUCACUCAUUCACCGGGUUCCAACCAACCCUGCCGAGCCCAAAGGCGCCCGGCUGGCACCUCCUGCCCAGGCAUCCCCCGUGCCAGCCUGCGGCACCCGGGAGCUGGGAUGUGACCGCGGGCAUCGCCGCUGCGGGCACCGGCGCCUGCAGCGAGGGCCGGCGGCGGGGCUGGAGGGCUGGAUGCCGCUGAGAGGAUGAGAACAUGGGGCUCAGGUUAUCCUGCCUGAAAGGCCUGAAGAUGUGUGUGAGCAGCGGCAACGGCAGCGAGGGGACCCCGAGGGCGGCACAGAAGCACCUCCACGUGCCCUCCAUCAUCGUCACACCGCCCACACCCACGGGCACCGCGCUGGCCCGCCGUGGGGAGGGUCCCUCGCCCUGCAGCCCCUGCUGAGAGAGGGGGACACCGGGGGCACCCACGUCGGGAUGGAGCCACAGCCCCCAGGGCACGGCUGCUGCUGCCAGGGACACGCGGGGCACCCACACGGGUGGGUUUGGACACCUGGGAUUGGGGUUUGUCCCUUUUCCUGACAGCGACGGGGAGGGGGAUCCUCCCCAUGGUGAAUAAAACCCCAUGGGCUCUGCA